rnacentral:rRNA from 1 species
UACGAAGGGGGCUAGCGUUGCUCGGAAUUACUGGGCGUAAAGGGCGCGUAGGCGGAUAGUUUAGUCAGAGGUGAAAGCCCAGGGCUCAACCUUGGAAUUGCCUUUGAUACUGGCUAUCUUGAGUUCGGGAGAGGUGAGUGGAAUGCCGAGUGUAGAGGUGAAAUUCGUAGAUAUUCGCAAGAACACCAGUGGCGGAAGGCGGACUCACUGGCCCCGGUACUGACGCUAAGGUGCGAAAGCGUGGGGAGCAAACAGGG